CCUACGGGUGGCAGCAGUGAGGAAUAUUGGUCAAUGGGCGAGAGCCUGAACCAGCCAAGUCGCGUGAGGGAGUACUGCCCUAUGGGUUGUAAACCUCUUUUGUCGGGGAGCAAAAGCCGGACGUGUCCGGCUGUGAGAGUACCCGAAGAAAAAACAUCGGCUAACUCCGUGCCAGCAGCCGCGGUAAUACGGAGGAUGCGAGCGUUAUCCGGAUUUAUUGGGUUUAAAGGGUGCGCAGGCGGAUUUUUAAGUCAGCGGUAAAAUCGUGGGGCUCAACCCCAUCCAGCCGUUGAAACUGGGGAUCUAGAGUGUGCGAGAGGUAUGCGGAAUGCGUGGUGUAGCGGUGAAAUGCAUAGAUAUCACGCAGAACCCCGAUUGCGAAGGCAGCAUACCGGUGCACAACUGACGCUCAGGCACGAAAGCGUGGGUAUCGAACAGGAUUAGAUACCCUAGUAGUC
rnacentral:rRNA from 1 species